rnacentral:rRNA from 1 species
GAAAGUCUGACGGAGCAACGCCGCGUGAGUGAAGAAGGUUUUCGGAUCGUAAAACUCUGUUGUCAGAGAAGAACAAGUUGGAGAGUAACUGCUCCAGCCUUGACGGUAUCUGACCAGAAAGCCACGGCUAACUACGUGCCAGCAGCCGCGGUAAUACGUAGGUGGCAAGCGUUGUCCGGAUUUAUUGGGCGUAAAGCGAGCGCAGGCGGUUCCUUAAGUCUGAUGUGAAAGCCCACGGCUCAACCGUGGAAGGUCAUUGGAAACUGGGGAACUUGAGUGCAGAAGAGGAGAGUGGAAUUCCAUGUGUAGCGGUGAAAUGCGUAGAUAUAUGGAGGAACACCAGUGGCGAAGGCGACUCUCUGGUCUGUAACUGACGCUGAGGCUCGAAAGCGUGGGGAGCGAAACAGGAUUAGAUACCCUGGUAGUCCACGCCGUAAACGAUGAGUGCUAAGUGUUGGAGGGUUUCCGACCCUUCAGUGCUGCAGCUAACGCAUUAAGCACUCCGCCUGGGGAGUACGGCCG